rnacentral:rRNA from 1 species
AGUGAACGCUGGCGGUAGGCCUAACACAUGCAAGUCGAACGGCAGCACAGUAAGAGCUUGCUCUUACGGGUGGCGAGUGGCGGACGGGUGAGGAAUACAUCGGAAUCUACUUUUUCGUAGGGGAUAACGUAGGGAAACUUACGCUAAUACCGCAUACGACCUACGGGUGAAAGCAGGGGAUCUUCGGACCUUGCGCGAUUGAAUGAGCCGAUGUCGGAUUAGCUAGUUGGCGGGGUAAAGGCCCACCAAGGCGACGAUCCGUAGCUGGUCUGAGAGGAUGAUCAGCCACACUGGAACUGAGACACGGUCCAGACUCCUACGGGAGGCAGCAGUGGGGAAUAUUGGACAAUGGGCGCAAGCCUGAUCCAGCCAUACCGCGUGAGUGAAGAAGGCCUUCGGGUUGUAAAGCCCUUUUGAUGGGAAAGAAAAGCAGCAGGUUAAUACCCCGCUGUCCUGACGGUACCCAAAGAAUAAGCACCGGCUAACUUCGUG